rnacentral:rRNA from 1 species
UACGAGGGGGGCGAGCGUUGUUCGGAAUUAUUGGGCGUAAAGGGUGCGUAGGUGGGCAGGUAAGUCAGUGGUGAAAUCUCCGGGCUUAACCCGGAAACUGCCGUUGAUACUAUUUGUCUUGAAUAUUGUGGAGGUAAGCGGAAUAUGUCAUGUAGCGGUGAAAUGCUUAGAUAUGACAUAGAACACCAAUUGCGAAGGCAGCUUACUACACAACGAUUGACGCUGAGGCACGAAAGCGUGGGGAUCAAACAGG